rnacentral:lncRNA from 1 species
UUUUUUUUAUAAAAUUAAUGCUUAAAAUCAUCAACAGUCUAUUAUCAUAUUUUCAUCAUUAUCAACAAAAUUAUUAAGAUCUUGGUGUAUUGUAUAAAAUGGGCAAAGAUGCAAAAAUAUCACUCAUAUUUACUUCGAAAUCUCACUUCCAUCUUGAAUUCUUUUUUUUUUUUCAAAAAUACACCUACCAUUAUAAAUCAUAGCUCCAAUAUGUUCUUCGUGUUAAAUAAAUGUCGUUUAUUUUUUAUAUGGUUGACACUUGGCCAGAUUUGCUGACGCGUGACAUCUAAUGUGUAUAAUGUGUAUAAAAAUAAUAUUUAAUGUGUAUUUUAUAAUUUAUUUAUUAUGUAUAUUUUAUUAAUUAAUUCUAUUUAUUAAUAAUUUUAUUAAGUAAAAAUGAUUAUGUGAAAUAACCCAUUUUUUUAAGUAAUUAUAUUUUAUGUAAGUAAUUAUUUCUCUUCAAGCUUAUUUUUAUAAGUAAUUAUCAUAUUAAUAUGUAGUGAAAUAAGUUUUUUUUUUUGUACUCUUCUCUAAUUAUUUAUUCUGCUAAUUUUAGAUUUCAAUAUUGUGAACCACCAUCACCACUAGGGACAUCAACACCAUUAACAAAAUACACCAACAUGAUCCACCAACAAAAUUCAGAUCCCGCUAUCCACCACCAACAAAUCUACCACCAUGCACCGUCGCCUCUCAAAAUCACGCCAUCAACAAAAUUACUACCAUCACGACGAGAUCCACCCCGAUCUACUAGCCCAAAUCAAAAAAAAUAAAAGAAAAGAUGGAAGGAAGUCACCCACCGAAAAAUUUCAUCAUCACCCACAAUAAGAUAAACCAGAACACAAUAACAACAAUUUUAACAAGGAAAGGAAAUAAAAUAAAGCAAAAGAAAAUAUAGUAGAUCUGCAUAGUUGUAGAUCUGAUAAAAAAAGAAAACAGAUCUACAUAGUUGUAGAUCUGAAAAAAUUAAUACACGACAUUGACGACGUGAAAGGGGCUGAAGCGGUGGCGCCAUCUAAACUACAAACUGUUAUUAUUGUUACAAGGGCUGGUGGCGUGACUGACUGAUAUGCAGCCGGCGGAGGGACGAUUGAGAGAGGUUUGAUGGAAGUUGGGGUGGAUAUUACGUUUGCCGCCACUUUUAUUGUGGAAAGUUGUAUGUGGUGGUUGGUGGAGGAGAAAUAAAAUUUUAGCGAAGUGGGGAAAGAGGGAGGUUCGAUUUGUUUAUGAAAUUAGAGUGGAAGCUGCCAAGCUGGUGUUGAGAACAUUGAUGAUGAUAAUGAUGAUGACGAAGCCAUGUUUUAACUGAUGAUUUCAGCUCCUUCAGUUUUAUGCAUCUCUACUAUAUUUAUAAAUUAAAUAUAAAUAUUUUUUUUGUUUAAUAAUUAUUUAUUUUGUUUUAUAAAAAAAUAAAAUAAAUAAUUAAUAAAUAUUCG